UACGUAGGGGCCUAGCGUUGUCCGGAAUUAUUGGGCGUAAAGGGCUCGUAGGCGGCUCAGUAAGUCGGGUGUGAAACCUCCAGGCUCAACCUGGAGACGCCACUCGAUACUGCUGUGGCUAGAGUCCGGUAGGGGAGCAUGGAAUUCCUGGUGUAGCGGUGAAAUGCGCAGAUAUCAGGAGGAACACCAGUGGCGAAGGCGGUGCUCUGGGCCGGAACUGACGCUGAUGAGCGAAAGCGUGGGGAGCAAACAGG
rnacentral:rRNA from 1 species